UGGCUCCCGGUGGAAGGCCAGCUGGAGGGCCAGAGAUGAAUGAUGUGGAUGUUGCAAUAGUCCGAGCCAGAUAAGAUGAGCUCAGAACGAAGGCGACUACAGCAGGGAGAGAACCAAGUCAUGGGAUCGCAUGGCUUGGCUUUGGUCGAUCCCUGGCACCAAGGGUGGGGAUGAGGGAGAGGGAGGAGUCUCAGGUGAUGCCCGCAUCUCCACCUGGAAUCAGAAGGCCCCACCUCCAGAGCCACCGACCCCAGAAAAGAGGUCAAAGAACAGAAGCCGCAGUUGGAGGGGGCAAGCUUAGCUGAGAGGGGAGGUCGGCCAUCAGCUGCAUCAGAAGAGAAAACCACGGCUAAUCUGGAAAAGCCAGCCUGCAAGGGAGUGACCGCAUCUCCCAGCAUCCUCUGGGGCAGGUACAGUCUCAUCGUUUGGCUGGACACGAAUCAAAGACCAACCCACCUGCCUCCCUGUCCUGCCCAGCAGAGCCCCCUGCUCUGUCUCCUCCUUGUUCCUCUGCAUCCUCCAGUGCCUGAGAUGACCUCCCAACCCCCACCUGUGAGCUUCUGAGGCUCCUGUCUUCUUAGGGGCAGAGGCAAGGAAAAUCCUGCUAUAGCUCCCUCCCUCCCGCCUAGACUUUUGGCUGCCUUCUGAAACUGGAC
ensembl:lncRNA